UCACCGGAUCUCAUUGACUUUUUUAUAUGGACAUACAUAUCUCUAAAUCAUAUUUUUAUUGAAUCCAAAUUACAAUCUGAGUACUAAAAAUUUACUGAAAUUUUCAACAGGAAAUUCUCAUAUGGAUUCCAGUAAGAUGGUCAGUCAGAGGUUAUAUUAUCAUACCACUUCCACUCCUCAUUCAGCCAAUCCAUUGUAUGGAUACACUAUUUCAUAGUGUAUUAAAAGGUGUUUCUAUUUUUGGAGGAUACACAUGUUGUUGUUCAAGGGCAGAAGAGGCAUGUGACUUUUGGUGCUCUGGUAGGCAACUAAAUAUCUGGCAUGCAGACAGAUAACUUUGGAGGAUAUUCAAAUGAGCAGGCUAAAAAGCUAUGCUAAUACUAAGAUUCAGUCUUCUGUUUAUUACUACCCACAAUUUUCAGAAUAUAGCAGUUCUGUUGGGUGGAGCUCUCAGGAGCCUGGGGGCAUACAGACCUCUGGGUAUCAUUCAGGUUGUUAUUACGGCUAUCAACCAUCGAUAAACCAAAGCAGUACAGGGACAGAUCAUCCUGCUUGUAGAAAUAAUGAAGAGGGUUUCCAGACCCGAGGAAGCAAAAUCUUUCCUUCAUCCUGGGCAACUGAGCCGGUUGAAUUUUGGGCAUCCGACUAACAGAAAUGUGAGAAUAUCAUGUAACAUUUGAGUCAUUGACAGUAGAUGCAGGUCAUGGAAGCUGCCAUCUGAAUUGGAUCUGUAUG